CUUCUCCGGAAUCCCCACGCCGUGAAGUCAUAAUCCUGUGUCUGUGACACCCUGUCGGUUGCUAUGGAAACGACUCGCUGUUAAACACUGGCGUUCUCAAUGAGGGUUGCAGGGGUUCCGAGGCGGACCUGGGGAGCAGAAACCCCUGUUUAGGGUGAACCGUGGCGGGCGCCGAUGGCCUCUUGGAAGAGGACAGACUAGCAGCUGCGAGGGAGAUGGGACUGGGUUUCACCCCUGAAAGGGCCCCUGGAGACAGCGGGAGGGCUGCUGAACGCCGGAGCCUUACAACUGUUAAACUCAGGCAGAGCUCGGGAAAUGCUGCCCGGAUGGGUGACUGAUGGAGAGGGGCUACCACUCUUCCAGCUAAACUCCGCUCUGGUUGGGACCCAGCAAUUAUUUUCCAUAGCGAAGUGUUAAUAAAAUAUCUGUUACUCCCAACACAACCUCCUGGGGGAAGGGACCUGUCUGUCUGCUUCAACUUUGGAUCCUCAGUGCCCACAUCAGGAUACCUGGCCUGAGAGCAUCCGGUGACCCAGUUUUAGGUCUCAAGGUCACUGCCAAGAAAGAGAAGCUGCUAAAGUGACACCUCUGUGCACCCACAUGACUUAACACAAAAGUUAACAGGAGCUCUUCAAAAACAAGCCUCUCGAGUGUCUGUCUCCUGUUUUCCCUGAGGACAGCAUCAGUGGCAUCAGAUAGGGGUUGGGGCUGGGUGACCUGCUGGUCCUCAGCCAUCACUGUGGCCCAGAGGUCAUUUAAGCAGCUCUCUGCUUAGCAGACAGGCAGAGGGAAUAGAUGGAAGGUACAGGUAAACACUGCAUGUGGCCACCGCGAGGAUACCCCGGAGCCUGGGAAACAGACAGGGACGUCGUAAAACCAACACAUAAUGGACCAGUGCAGAGACAGGCAAAACCAGUCAGAAGAAAUAGGAUGGUGCCUAGCCCAGGGACACCUGACUUAAGAGAGGGUCCUGCCGGUAUUACCCUGGAGGAAGGAAUGCUGCACAGAGGCCGAGAGGAAUUUGAACAGACUGGCCUUGCUGGGUUUUUAUCUCUUUUUGUCCAAUCCCAUUUUGACACAGUUGUCCAUGCUCCAAUCAUGCUUAUCCAAUGAAGUUUCCAUAACAGGCCUGAGAGGACAGGGUUCAGGAGCUUCCGGACAGCUGAGCAGGUGGAGGUUCCUGGAGGGUGGUGUGCCAGGGAGGGUGUGGAAGCUCUGCCCCUUCCCCCAUACCUUGUCCUAUGCAUUCCUUUAUCUGCAUCCUUCAUUUUAUUUUAUUUUUUUUUGAGACGGAGUCUUGCUCUUGUCGUCCAGGCUGGAAUGCAGUGGUGCGCGA
rnacentral:lncRNA from 1 species